GGCGGGGCGCACGCUUAUAAGGGGCACGAGGGUCUUGGGGCUGCCAGAAUGGCUGCAGCUUAGUGUGCGGCGCCAGCAUGUGUCAUGUUCAGCUGCGUUUCUGGGGCCCAUGGCCCCUCCUCAGGUGGCAACUAUUGUGGCUACUAGUCAAGGAGGCUCAGCCUCUGGAGUGGGUCAAGGACCCGCUCAAGCUGACCUCUAACUCUCCUGCUACCCCUGGGGCCGCCUGAGCCCUGGUCUUCCCGCUCCUCCCGUCUCCCAUGGGAAUCUCCCCAUGUGCCUACUCCCCUGGCAGACCCGGGGGACUUUGAUUACCUGGGGCCCUCUGCUUCCUGGCAGAUGUCAGCCCCACCCCAGGAAUCGACUGAAAAUGUGGUGCCAUACCUGGACACGGAUUCAGCUGGAGAGCUGCUCCUGGGGUCAGAGCAGUUCUCCGCUGCACACCAGGAUUUAAAUGACAAGCUGACUCCGCAAGAAAGGCUCCCAGAGGUUUCAAAACCAACCAAAUUUAUUGUUUUGCCCAAGAACCUGAAGAAAGAUCUAGCUCAGUGUUGGAGCCUUGCUAAGAUUGUUGGAAUUCCACACCAAUUAUCCAAACUUCAGCAUCAGAAACAGAUUUUGCAGGCUGAAUACUGGAGUAUAGACACACUGUAUCCCGGCAGCUGCCUCCAGAACUCGGGGUUAACUUGGAUGAGCCCCCAGGGCUCCCUGAGCAAGUUGGACUUUCUCAAUUCCAUCUAGAGUCUGAAACUCAAAAUCCAGAGACCCUUGAAGACAUCCAGUCCUCUUCACUCCAGCAAGAAGCCCCAGCCCAGCUUCCACAGCUCCCUGAGGAGGAAGAACCUUCUUCAACCCAGCAGGGGGCCCCCAGCUGGGCCUCCAGAGUACUCUAUGGAGAGUCAAGCUCAAACUCUACCGAAUCAUGAGGUGACAGUUCAACCUCCAGGUGAGGAUCAAGCUCAUUAUAACUUGCCCAACAUUACAGUUAAACCUGCAGAUGUGGAGGUUACCAUAACUUCAGAACCUACCAAUGAGACAGAAUCUUCCCAAGCCCAGCUGGAGGCCCCAAUUCAGCUUCCAGAGGAGGUGGAACAUUCUGCGACCCAACAGGAGGCCCCAACUGAGCCUCCAGGUCCCCCUGUGGAGCGUGAACUUUCCAUCAGUGAGCAGGAGCAGCCAGCUCAGCCUUCUGAGUCUUCUGGGGAGGUUGAAUCUUCUCAGACCCAGCAGGAGACCCCAGCUCAGCCUCCAGAACAUCAUGAAGUCACAGUUUCGAUUCCAGGUCACCAUGAAACUCAGCAUUCAGAUUUGCCCAAUGUCUCUGUUAAGCCUCCAGACAUGCAGCUCACCAUGGGAACAGAGCCUAGUGCAGAGGUGGGAACUUCUACAGUCCACCAGGAGGCUACAGCUCAGCUCUCAGGGCCAGGUAAUGAUGUAGAACCUCCUGUUAUCCAGCAUGGGGGCCCACCUCUGCCUCCAGAGUCAUUGGAAGAGGCUUUACCUUUAGCAAUUCAACAAGAGACUUCAGUUCAAUUUCCAGAACCUAUUAAUAAUGCAAAUCCCUCUCCAACCCAGCAGAAGGAUGCAGCUGAGCAUCCACAGACUGCUGAGGAGGGUCCAGCUCAGACUCCAGAGCUCCCUAAUGUAGUUGUAGCCCAACCUCCAGAGCAUUCAAACCUGACUCAAGCCACAGUUCAACCUUUGGACCUAGGGCUUACCAUCACUCCAGAAUCCACAACAGAGGUUGAACUUUCUCCUACCAUGCAGGAGACCCCAACUCAGCCUCCUAAAAUAGUUGUACCCCAACUUCCAGUAUAUCAAGAGGUAACAAUUCCAACACCAGGUCAGGAUCAAGCUCAGCAUCCAAUGUCACCCAGCGUUACAGUUCAACCUUUGGACCUGGGACUUACCAUCACUCCAGAACCCACUACGGAGGUUGGACAUUCUACACCCCUGAAGAAGACUCUAGUUUCUCCAAAGCACCCUAAGGUGACACUUCCACAUCCAGACCAGGUUCAGACUCAGCAUUCAAACCUGACUCAAGCCACAGUUCCACCUUUGGAUCUGGGGCUUACCAUCACUCCAGAAUCCAUGACAGACUUUGAACCUUCUACAGCCCUGACGACUACAGCUCCUCCUCCAAAACACCUGAGGCGACACUUCCACCUUCAGACAAGGGUCAGGCUCAGCAUUCACACCUGACUUAAGUCACAGUUCCACCUCUGGACCUGGAGCUUACCAUAACUACAGAACCUACUGCAGAGGUUAAACUGCCUCCAACCAUGGAGAAGACCUCAACUCAGCCUCCAGACCUGGGGCUUGCCAUCACUCCAGAGCCCACUACAGAGAUUGGACAUUCUAUAGCCCUGGAGAAGACUACAGUUCCUCGUCCAGACCAGGUUCAGACUCUGCAUCGAAAACUGACUGAAGUCACAGGUCCACCUACUGAACUAGAACCUACUCAGGAUUCAUUGGUUCAGUCUGAAAGUUAUGCCCAAAAUAAGGCUUUAACUGCACCAGAGGAACAGAAGGCCUCCACAAGCACCAACAUAUGUGAGCUCUGUACCUGUGGAGAUGAGACGCUGUCGUGUAUUGAUCUCAGCCCGAAACAGAGGCUCCGCCAAAUGCCUGUGCCAGAGCCCAACACCUACAAUGGCACCUUCACCAUCUUAAAUUUCCAAGGAAAUGAUAUUUCUUACAUUGAUGGAAAUGUAUGGAAAGCAUACAAGAAAUUAAUUGUCAAUGAAAAUUAUUUGAUUGAAUUACAUAAGGAUUCAUUGAAGGCCUGCUAUCCCUCCAGUAUUUAGAUUUAUCCUGCAAUAAAAUACAGUCUAUUGAAAGACAUACAUUUGAACCACUACCAUUUUUGCAGUUUAUAAAUCUUGGUUGCAAUUUACUUACAGAACUGAGCUUUGGAACAUUUCAGGCCUGGCACGGAAUGCAGUUUUUACACAAGUUAAUUCUCAAUCGCAAUCCUCUGACAACUGUUGAAGAUCCAUAUCUCUUUAAACUGCCAGCAUUAAAAUAUCUAGACAUGGGAACAACACAUGUCCCAUUUACAACAAUUAAGAACAUUCUCAUGAUGACUGGAGAAACUGAUCUUACCUAGCCAUGUGGUCUGCUGCCUCUGCCAAUUUAAAAAUAGCAUUAAGGCUCUCUGCAAGACAGUCAAGCUGCACUGCAACAGUGCAUGUCUGACAAACACCAUACAUUGUCCUGAAGAAGCAUCUGUAGGGAAUCCAGAAGGAACGUUCAUGAAGGUGUUACAAGCCCCGAAGAAGCACACGAGCACUGAGCUAACUAUUGAGCUGGAGACGGCCUCAGACAGCAAUGGCAUCAACUUGUCAGUCUUUGGGAGUGGACAGCUAGACACCAAUGACGUGAGGGAUGUUAUCAGUGCACUAAGUUACAUCUUGCCUUAUUUCUGAGCGGUAAAUCUAGAUGUGAAAUCAAUGUUGUUACCGUUCAUUAAACUGCUUUCUUCAAAUGAAAACAGCCUGGCAAAGAUUCAAAGCAUAGGCAAAAACCUGCAGAGAGUGAACAGACUCCUCAUGGGCCCAAAGAGCAUCCAGAAAAGGCACUUCGAAGAGGUGGGAAAGCAGAGCAUCAGGAGGGAAGAUGGGCCCAGACAUUUGCAGAGAACACUGCCAAAGAAAAAAGGCUCGGGAGUCCAACCCAAGGGAGCUGAAACAGCCUCACAUAGAGCAGGGGUCUGAGAAGUUAGUGGGAAACACCGACUACACCAAGCCUUCGUUCACCCAAGAGCAGUCUCCUUUAUGUUGAAACUGUUCUCCAUGGGCGUGCCUUCUGCCUCCACCUCUGCAAAAGCCCUACCUCAGGUCAGAGACAGAUCGAAAGACUUAAUCUACACCAUUUUCAUUUUAGAAAAUGCAAAGGCUAGAGUUAAAAAUAUGAAGACUGCUAAACCAAUCGUACAUUCCAGAAAAAAAUACCACUUUCAUAAAACUCGCUCCCGCAUGGCUCACAGAACACCCAAGGCCAAAAAAGAGUCCAAACUUCAGAAAGAAAAGUUAUCUCGAUAGACUGAGGCUCACAAAGAGGCCUCCGUUCUCUGCAGCGAAGAGCCUAUGCAUUUCCCUUCACAGGGGGCUUUUUCAUCUUUAGGAGACCCAAGCCCUCAGGAAAAUCCUCUUCCGGAAGUAUUUGCUCCUUCAGAACGUUUUAUAGAAAACACUAAUGUAAAAAACACAACUGCAAGAAAUGCCUUUGAAGAAAACAUUUUUAUGGAAAACACUAGUAUGCCAGAAGGCACCAUCUCUGAAAACACAAACUACAAUCCUCCUCCUGAGACAGAUUCUGCUGGGACUGCGUUCAACUUAGGGCCAACUAUUACACAAACUGAGACAAAAUGGGAAUACAACAAUGUGGGCACCGACCUGUCCCCCGAGCCCCAAAGCUUCAAUUACUCAUUGCUCUCAUCUCCAGGUGAUCAGUUUGAAAUUCAGCUAACCCAGCAGCUGCGGUCCCUCAUCCCCAACAACAAUGUGCGCAGGCUCAUUUCUCAUGUUAUCCGGACCUUGAAGAUGGACUGCUCUGAGACCCACGUGCAAUUGACCUGUGCCAAGUUCAUCUCCAGGACAGGCCUCCUGAUGAAGCUUCUCAGUGAGCAGCAAGAAGUAAAGGUGUCCAAGGCAGAAUGGAUACGGACCAGUGGAAAACUGAGAACUGUAUCAACGAGAGCGCGGAAGCCCAGAAUGAACAGAAACAGCAAAAGUCGAGUGAGCUCACAAUAGAAGUUCCAGGAUAUGGCUAUAACGACAAACUCAUCUUGGCAAUAUUUGUGACUGAAAUACUAACGACUUUAAUUCUAGUUUUCUGCCUCAUUGAGAUUUAUUCUCACCGAAGGUCAUCACAAGAAGAUGAAGGAUUCUCAAGGGGCAGCGAAGCCCCAACAAAGAAGGGGGAGGAGAGUGAAGCCCUGCCAUAGGAGGAGAACCCAGAGUGACCCCAGUCCGCCUCAGGCCUCCUGCAAAAAUACGUAGCAUAAACAACAAGGGCCAUCAGAAAGAAAAGCGGGACUGAAGCCAGCAGCCCACACGUCCACAGGGGCAGCGGGCAGAGGAAGCACAGGGCCAUCAUUCCCUCCCUUGUUUCCCAGUAUAAUUAGUCACCCAGACCUGAAAACAUAUCCUCAGGGGGUGGAGAUUUUACAAUACCAUUGUU